ACAUCCAAAUCGAGUAAUAAUAUUCUUGUAUAGAAAUGUGGCCACUGUAUUGGCAUUAUCAUUGCGGGUAGCAAUAGCCUCUGUCCAUUUGGUUACAUAGUCCGUGGCCACUAAAAUAUACCGCUUUUGUCCAUGUCUCGAUGUUGGUGCAAUGGGUCCAACAAAAUCAAUUCUCCAUUUCUCAAAUGGUACAUGUACGAAGAUU
rnacentral:lncRNA from 1 species